rnacentral:rRNA from 1 species
CAGACGGGUGAGUAACGCGUGGGAACGUGCCCUUUGGUUCGGAAUAGCCCCGGGAAACUGGGAGUAAUACCGAAUGUGCCCUACGGGGGAAAGAUUUAUCGCCAAAGGAUCGGCCCGCGUUAGAUUAGCUUGUUGGUGAGGUAAUGGCUCACCAAGGCGACGAUCUAUAGCUGGUCUGAGAGGAUGAUCAGCCACACUGGGACUGAGACACGGCCCAGACUCCUACGGGAGGCAGCAGUGGGGAAUCUUGGACAAUGGGCGAAAGCCUGAUCCAGCCAUUCCGCGUGGAUGAUGAAGGCCUUAGGGUUGUAAAAUCCUUUCAGCGGGGAAGAUAAUGACUGUACCCGCAGAAGAAGCCCCGGCUAACUCCGUGCCAGCAGCCGCGGUAAUACGGAGGGGGCUAGCGUUGUUCGGAAUUACUGGGCGUAAAGCGCGCGUAGGCGGAUCAGCCAGUCAGAGGUGAAAGCCCAGGGCUCAACCCUGGAACUGCCUUUGAUACUGUUGAUCUGGAGUCCGGGAGAGGUGUGUGGAAUUCCGAGUGUAGAGGUGAAAUUCGUAGAUAUUCGGAGGAACACCAGAGGCGAAGGCGACACACUGGACC